rnacentral:rRNA from 1 species
GCUUCUUUUUCCCCGGAGCUUGCUCCACCGGAAAAAGAGGAGUGGCGAACGGGUGAGUAACACGUGGGUAACCUGCCCAUCAGAAGGGGAUAACACUUGGAAACAGGUGCUAAUACCGUAUAACAAUCGAAACCGCAUGGUUUUGAUUUGAAAGGCGCUUUACGGUGCCGCUGAUGGAUGGACCCGCGGUGCAUUAGCUAGUUGGUGAGGUAACGGCUCACCAAGGCCACGAUGCAUAGCCGACCUGAGAGGGUGAUCGGCCACAUUGGGACUGAGACACGGCCCAAACUCCUACGGGAGGCAGCAGUAGGGAAUCUUCGGCAAUGGACGAAAGUCUGACCGAGCAACGCCGCGUGAGUGAAGAAGGUUUUCGGAUCGUAAAACUCUGUUGUUAGAGAAGAACAAGGAUGAGAGUAACUGUUCAUCCCUUGACGGUAUCUAACCAGAAAGCCACGGCUAACUACGUGCCAGCAGCCGCGGUAAUACGUAGGUGGCAAGCGUUGUCCGGAUUUAUUGGGCGUAAAGCGAGCGCAGGCGGUUUCUUAAGUCUGAUGUGAAAGCCCCCGGCUCAACCGGGGAGGGUCAUUGGAAACUGGGAGACUUGAGUGCAGAAGAGGAGAGUGGAAUUCCAUGUGUAGCGGUGAAAUGCGUAGAUAUAUGGAGGAACACCAGUGGCGAAGGCGGCUCUCUGGUCUGUAACUGACGCUGAGGCUCGAAAGCGUGGGGAGCAAACAGGAUUAGAUACCCUGGUAGUCCACGCCGUAAACGAUGAGUGCUAAGUGUUGGAGGGUUUCCGCCCUUCAGUGCUGCAGCUAACGCAUUAAGCACUCCGCCUGGGGAGUACGACCGCAAGGUUGAAACUCAAAGGAAUUGACGGGGGCCCGCACAAGCGGUGGAGCAUGUGGUUUAAUUCGAAGCAACGCGAAGAACCUUACCAGGUCUUGACAUCCUUUGACCACUCUAGAGAUAGAGCUUCCCCUUCGGGGGCAAAGUGACAGGUGGUGCAUGGUUGUCGUCAGCUCGUGUCGUGAGAUGUUGGGUUAAGUCCCGCAACGAGCGCAACCCUUAUUGUUAGUUGCCAUCAUUUAGUUGGGCACUCUAGCAAGACUGCCGGUGACAAACCGGAGGAAGGUGGGGAUGACGUCAAAUCAUCAUGCCCCUUAUGACCUGGGCUACACACGUGCUACAAUGGGAAGUACAACGAGUCGCGAAGUCGCGAGGCUAAGCUAAUCUCUUAAAGCUUCUCUCAGUUCGGAUUGUAGGCUGCAACUCGCCUACAUGAAGCCGGAAUCGCUAGUAAUCGCGGAUCAGCACGCCGCGGUGAAUACGUUCCCGGGCCUUGUACACAC